CAACGCAUCAAUCUGGUUGUGAAUUCUUUUUUUUGAGCAAGAUAUCACAGCCACUUUGAUGAGCUUGG
rnacentral:pre_miRNA from 1 species